AUCUUCAUCCAGGUCUCUUAUCUUUAGAUUUUCAAAUUUUUUUUUAAUAUUAAUCUUCUUUUAUUUCCAUCUAUAUUCUCUUUUUAUCAUCUUUAUUUCUAUCUAAUGAUAUAGAAAGUCAAUAAUUUUAUUCUUGUUCAUGCUAGAGCUCACAUGAUUAAUACUCCCUUCAUCUCUCUUUAUGAUGAAAUACUCGAUGAUAAUAAUAAUAAGCAUUUAAUCAAAUUCAAAAGAAAUAUGAAAUAUAGUGGAUAAUGGUAAAAAUAAAAGAGUUUCUUUUUAUGAAUAUGCAGGGA
rnacentral:lncRNA from 1 species